GGACGAACGCUGGCGUCGUGCUUACCACAUGCAAGUCGAACGGAAAGCCCCUGCUUUUGUGGGUUGCUCGAGUGGCGAACGGGUGAGUAACACGUGAGUAACCUGCCCUUGACUUUGGGAUAACUUCAGGAAACUGGGUCUAAUACCGGAUAGGAGCUCCUGCUGCAUGGUGGGGGUUGGAAAGUUUCGGCGGUUGGGGAUGGACUCGCGGCUUAUCAGCUUGUUGGUGGGGUAGUGGCUUACCAAGGCUUUGACGGGUAGCCGGCCUGAGAGGGUGACCGGCCACAUUGGGACUGAGAUACGGCCCAGACUCCUACGGGAGGCAGCAGGGGGGAAUAUUGCACAAUGGGCGGAAGCCUGAUGCAGCAACGCCGCGUGCGGGAUGACGGCCUUCGGGUUGUAAACCGCUUUCGCCUGUGACGAAGCGUGAGUGACGGUAAUGGGUAAAGAAGCACCGGCUAACUACGUG
rnacentral:rRNA from 1 species